AUGCGUGUAGAGCUGAGGAUGCUGCCAAUCGCCCUCAUCCUCCUACUCCUCGCCCGCGCCGCCCAUCAUGGCCUCGCCGUCGCUGUCGCCGUCAGCCCUACGCCUAUCAUCAACACAACAUGCGCCGCGCUCACCAACAGCCCCAACUUCACGCUGCACAUCGAGUACGAGUUUUGCGUGGGCGCGCUCUCGGCCGACCCGGCGGCAUCGUCCGCCACGGAUGCCCGUGGGCCAAUGGCCGCUGCGGCAAGCCUUGUCGUCGCCAACAUGAUGUCCACAGAGCACAUCAUCGCCGACCUCAUCCGAAAUCUGGGCCGCUGUCUCGCCUACUACAAGGAGAUCAAUGGCAUGGUGCGGCGCGGGCUCAAAAAGCUUCGUGCCUGCCACGCCGCCGGCGCUUCCGAGAAGCUUUUGGAAGCGGCUGAGUCAGACUCUCCGUCCAUAUGUGGCCUGAUCUUGAUAGAGGGAGACGCCAAAAGGAACCCCGUAGAUCGGGAGAACGAGAACACCUACUUCUUCCCAAAAAGCCUCCAGCUUUUCUCCCUUUCCCCUCGCAGCCACCACACAUUAACCCUAUCCCCACCCACGCUUUCUUUCCGGCGAUGGCGCCGCCGUUCUCUUCUCCGCGCACCGCCGUCUGCUCCGCGGCCGCUCCAUCUCCUCCUCACCUGCCUCACCUUAUCCCUUCCUCCUCCCACUCUCUCUGCCUUUCUGUGCUCCCGUGCUCCUAGUGUAGUGCCUCUUCCCGGCUCCCGCACCCAGAUGCGACCGCCUAGGGUUCGCUGCAGACGGAGAUGGCUACCACGGAGGUCGCCCCCUUCAGAUCUAGCGGCCCAGUGCUCUACCAGGUGCGGUAGUCAAGGAGGACGCAGCGCCGUCACCAGGCUGGGACUACAAGAUGCAGCAGAAGCGGCGCAUGGCCAAGGAUCUAGGCCUCCGACCAUUAGCGGUUGUUGUUGUGGCAGAAGCGACGGUACAGAGUUCGCGCCUCCGCCCUGUUCAGCCUUGCCUCCAUCAACUCUGAAAUCCCCGGAUCCUUCCUCCAGGCAGCGGCGCAAUUUGUUGGCUUGCUCAUCAGUUGUGAUACCCCAUGGCCCCUGUCCGCACCUGCUGGAAGCAACCAUAAGGACUGGACUCAGAAAGAACCAUGAAGCCAACGAAUGCAUGAACUACAUGAAAACACCAUCUGAUUGUUGGUUGGCAAAACAAACCCCGUCGGACAGUGGGUCAGGAAAGCCCAACAUCGAGCCCAUCAGAAUGUUGGUCGGGAAAGGCCCAUGGCUGCCCCAACAUAUUGUUGGUCGGGAAAGGCCCAUCGCUGCCCCAACAGACUGUCGGUCGGGAAAGGCCCAUAGCAGGCCCAACAGACUCUUGGUCGGGAAAGUAGAGCGCUGGGACUUGCACAAGACGCCUCGCCCGGAGCACAUGCCUCAGACUAAGGCGACGGCCACGGCACGGCAGAAGUCCAUGUUCGCUUGGUCCAGCUUCUACGCCUCGCCGGACCCGAGCAUGCUCCCCAUGCCCUCCUUCUUUCUGCGCGCACAUUAG
rnacentral:rRNA from 1 species